rnacentral:misc_RNA from 1 species
GAAAUGCGAUAAGUAAUGUGAAUUGCAGAAUUCCGUGAAUCAUCGAAUCUUUGAACGCACAUUGCGCCCUCUGGCAUUCCGGGGGGCAUGCCUGUCCGAGCGUCAUUACGCACCCUCAAGCCCGGCUUGUGUGAUGGGCCCCGGCGUCUCGUUCGCGAGACGGGCCUGAAAGGCAGUGGCGGCGUUCGCGUCUCAGCGAUCAGCCCGAGCGUAUGGGGCUCUGUCACACGCUCGCGGUGGUUGGACCGACGUCACGUCCGGCUCUCGAGUUCUUCUCUCUCUCAGGUUGACCUCGGAUCAGGUAGGGAUACCCGCUGAACUUAAGC